rnacentral:tRNA from 1 species
GAGAGGUGGCCGAGUGGUCGAAGGCGCUCCCCUGCUAAGGGAGUAUACCAGGAAUGGUAUCGAGGGUUCGAAUCCCUUCCUCUCC